GGUUGGUUGUGAAGAGCAUGUGAAUCAGAUGUGGCACGAUCUUCAAACUUUAAUGGGAGACAUUAUCCCACGAACAGGGUUUGGCAGCAGCUAUAAAGAAGGAAGUUAGAAUGUUCAACUCCAAACUGAACAAUCUGAGGUUUUUGCCCAUGAAAGAAAACAUAAAGAGAAAGGAAAUCAUCAAAGAAGUGCAAGAUACUAUGAUGAGUAAGAUCGAGAAGAGGAAGAAACGUAUCAAAACAGGAGAAGCCAACAAUGAUGAAUCCUUGCAAUGAAUCUUGAGUGUUAUGAGGACUUAUGAAAACAUUGAUUUAUGGUACUACUAUUUCAAUAGGGCCAAUGCUCAAACGGAGAGGCUAUACAACAGAGACAUUUAUUUAUAUAUGUAUUAUGAAGGGGGA